rnacentral:sRNA from 1 species
CUUCCUAACUACAGCCUCGCGACUAAUGAGAAGACAGAUAUUCAAAUGAUCAAUUUUCUCAUUAGCCGCGCGAAUCGGUGUAGCUGAAGAGGCGUUAAUAAAACAAUUAAUUACGAAUCAUAGCUUAGCAUUUAAGUUAAGUAUAAUUCGAGUCUUACUUCAACUUUA